GCUCUGGUGGCGGAAUUGGUAGACGCGCAGCGUUCAGGUCGCUGUGAUCUCCGGAUCGUGGGAGUUCAAGUCUCCCCCAGAGCACCA
rnacentral:tRNA from 1 species